rnacentral:rRNA from 1 species
GAUGAACGCUGGCGGCGUGCCUAAUACAUGCAAGUCGAGCGAAGCGGGGUCGGGUGAGUAACACGUGGAUAACCUCCUAUAAGACUGGAAUAACUUCGGGACUCCGAAGCUUAACCGUACACUUCUAGAUGGAUCCGCGCUGCAGUAGGUAGUUGGUAAGGUAACGGCUUACCAAGGCAACGAAUCCUAGCUGACCUGAGAGGGUGAUCGGCCACACUGGAACUGAGACACGGUCCAGACUCCUACGGGAGGCAGCAGUAGGGAAUCUUCCGCAAUGGGCGAAAGCCUGACGGAGCAACGCCGCGUGAGUGAUGAAGGUCUUCGGAUCGUAAAACUCUGUUAUUAGGGAAGCGUUACCUAAAGAGAAAGCCCCGGCUAACUACGUGCCAGCAGCCGCGGUAAUAC